AGAAAAUCAUCUGUGAUUAUGAGAAACCACAAGGGUUGGAGUAAAAACAGCCGAAGAGAUAAGGUUAUCUUCCUUUUUCUCUCAAGAGCGGUUCCUGAUGGGGAUUUCUCCCGUAACCGCCAGCGUGCAGGAGACGGGAGGCGGCGCGGCCAUGGCGCCGGCGGGCGCGGCGCACGGCCAUGGUGUGGGGCGCGUCGCAGAGCAGGCGGACGGGUGCGGGGCGCGUCGGGCUGGCACGACCAGGGGCCACGACUCUCCUUGGACCGAGGAUCCACGGACGUCGGUGGAGGGCGGGUCAACGCGACCACGUAGCCGCAGUCGUGGGCUCUGCCACGCCGCGAUGAUGCAGGCUGCGGCCGCACAAUCAUCUUCAUACCUCCGCGGUCCAACGAUAGGACAGAUACGCACGACGACGAAUGUCCUUGUGGAGAAGAAGAACAGCGCCCCUGUCGGAAUUCGACCGCUGCAACGGACGCGCGCGCAUUAGCCUUCCCUAAAACUAAAUAACUCUUGUGGUUAUUAGGGAAUAAUCCCCGCUCCUUCCUAGAUGUGCGGUUGCACACUUCCAGCAACCGUCACGACGGUUCCUGGAAUUGCAUCUCUACGGACCAUCGUGUCCCUCCGAGGCAACUGUUCCC
rnacentral:rRNA from 1 species